CAGAAAUUUGUGACAAUUCCCAUCAGCUACUGUGUCAGACUACGCAGGGAAGCCACUGAAAUUCACAAACACUGGGACAGUUUCAAUGAAAAGGAAGAGAGUCUGAAAAUCAACAAAACCUGGCUACCAGGACUAAA